rnacentral:rRNA from 1 species
UACGUAGGGUGCGAGCGUUGUCCGGAAUCAUUGGGCGUAAAGAGCGCGUAGGCGGCUGGAAUAGUCCGGUGUGAAAUCCACAGGCUUAACCUGUGAAUGCCGCUGGAAACUGUCUGGCUAGAGUCCGGAAGGGGCGAGUGGAAUUCCUGGUGUAGCGGUGAAAUGCGCAGAUAUCAGGAGGAACACCAGCGGCGAAGGCGGCGCUCUGGGCCGGAACUGACGCUGAGGAGCGAAAGCGUGGGUAGCAAACAGG